rnacentral:rRNA from 1 species
UGGGGAAUUUUGCGCAAUGGGGGAAACCCUGACGCAGCAACGCCGCGUGAGUGAUGAAGGCCUUCGGGUCGUAAAGCUCUGUCAGAGGGGAAGAAAUGCAGGGGUGCUAAUAUCAUCUUUGCUUGACGGUACCCUCACAGGAAGCACCGGCUAACUCCGUGCCAGCAGCCGCGGUAAUACGGAGGGUGCGAGCGUUGUUCGGAAUUAUUGGGCGUAAAGCGCGUGUAGGCGGUUUGAUAAGUCUGAUGUGAAAGCCCCGGGCUCAACCUGGGAAGUGCAUUGGAAACUGUCAGACUUGAAUACGGGAGAGGGUAGUGGAAUUCCUAGUGUAGGAGUGAAAUCCGUAGAUAUUAGGAGGAACACCGGUGGCGAAGGCGGCUACCUGGACCGAUAUUGACGCUGAGACGCGAAGGCGUGGGGAGCAAACAG